CCUUAGCAGUGGCACAUUACCACUAUAAGCCUCUUUUAGACUCAGCACAAUGGAGACGAGUGUCAUAAUAUCUGGCUUUGCUGGCUAUUAACAACA